GAGGCGAUUGCAGCCAGACACAUGGGCAAAGGAGCUUUCCGUAGCGGCUUCUUUCGACCUGUUGGGGACCCUCCGCUUCCCCGCGGCAGACGGGACCUUCCGUAUGAACGUUUCAUCCCUUCAGCGGCAGCUUCCAUGACUUCCGGCCCCCCGAUUCUACCCCCAGUCGUAAACGUGGCAAAGCUGCUCUGAGUUGAUAGAUCCGCCAACUGUUCCUGGACUCCCCUGCUCCACAGCCAGCCAGUGUCACUUAGACGUCGAAGUCUUCCUGCUGCGUCUGUAUUCAGGGCCACCAGUUCUUUGAGACCCUUAUCCAGCACUGACAACCUCUGAAAGUGGUAUAAUUAUCCAGGAGGCACUGCUUCAGCUCUAAAACAGUGAAUGAAACAUCAGAGAAUUAAAAUUCCCUACCCCUGAAGCUAAUUGUCUAGUUGGGCAAUGUCUUAUUUCUUCUAGGAAGCA